rnacentral:rRNA from 1 species
CGUGGGUAACCUGCCCAAGAGAUCGGGAUAACACCUGGAAACAGAUGCUAAUACCGGAUAACAACAGAUGAUGCCUAUCAACUGUUUAAAAGAUGGUUCUGCUAUCACUCUUGGAUGGACCUGCGGUGCAUUAGCUAGUUGGUAGGGUAACGGCCUACCAAGGCGAUGAUGCAUAGCCGAGUUGAGAGACUGAUCGGCCACAUUGGGACUGAGACACGGCCCAAACUCCACGGGAGGCAGCAGGU